GGGAUAUUGCGCAAUGGGCGAAAGCCUGACGCAGCGACGCCGCGUGGGUGAUGAAGGCCUUCGGGUCGUAAAGCCCUGUCCGGAGGGACGAAACCUCGCCGGCCUAAUACGUCGGCGACCUGACGGUACCUCCAAAGGAAGCACCGGCUAACUCCGGUCACGCAGCCGCGGUAAUACGGAGGGUGCGAGCGUUGUUCGGAAUUACUGGGCGUAAAGCGCGUGUAGGCGGCCUCCUAAGUCUGGUGUGAACGCUCGGGGCUCACCCCCGGAAGUGCACUGGAUACUGGGAGGCUAGAGUACCGGAGAGGAGGGUGGAAUUCCUGGUGUAGCGGUGAAAUGCGUAGAUAUCAGGAGGAACACCUGUGGCGAAGGCGGCCCUCUGGACGGAUACUGACGCUGAGACGCGAAAGCGUGGGGAGCAAAC
rnacentral:rRNA from 1 species